rnacentral:rRNA from 1 species
CCCGCCUGCGUGAAGUUGGAAUCGCUAGUAAUCGCGGAUCAGCAUGCCGCGGUGAAUACGUUCCCGGGCCUUGUACACACCGCCCGUCACACCAUGAGAGUCGGGAACACCCGAAGUCCGUAGCCUAACCGCAAGGGGGGCGCGGCCGAAGGUGGGUUCGAUAAUUGGGGUGAAGUCGUAACAAGGUAAC